rnacentral:pre_miRNA from 1 species
AAUAGAUGACGCCGUUGACUUUUUAUCACGCGUUUGACCAUUUGUCUUAUUUAAAAAAUUUACGUAAUUAUAAUUUAUUAUGUUGCGAGUUGUUUUAUCACUCAAAAUACUUUAAGCAUGAUUUAUAUCUUAUACAUUUGCAUAAAAUUUUUUGAAUAAGACGAAUGGUCAAACAUAUGUUUAAAAGUCAACGGCGUUAUCUAUU